GAACGCUGGCGGCGCGCCUAAAACAUGCAAGUCGAGCGAGAACCAGGGCUUCGGCCCUGGGGACAGCGGCGAACGGGUGCGUAACACGUGAGCAACCUGCCCCGAAGACCGGGACAAGCCGGGGAAACCUGGUCUAAUACCGGAUGCCCUCACCGGAUCGCAUGAUCUGGCGAGGAAAUGGAUUCCGCUUCGGGAUGGGCUCGCGGUCUAUCAGCUUGUUGGUGGGGUAACGGCCUACCAAGGCGACGACGGAUAGCUGGUCUGAGAGGACGAUCAGCCACACUGGGACUGAGACACGGCCCAGACUCCUACGGGAGGCAGCAGUUAGGAAUCUUGCGCAAUGGAGGAAACUCUGACGCAGCGACGCCGCGUGCGGGAUGAAGGCCCUCGGGUUGUAAACCGCUUUCAGCAGGGACGAAAUUGACGGUACCUGCAGAAGAAGGCCCGGCCAACUACGUGCCAGCAGCCGCGGUAAUACGUAGGGGCCUAGCGUUGUCCGGAAUUAUUGGGCGUAAAGAGCUCGUAGGCGGUUCGGCAAGUCGGAUGUGAAAUCUCCACGCUCAACGUGGAGGGGCCAUUCGAAACUGCCGUGACUCGAGUCCGGUAGGGGAGUGUGGAAUUCCCGGUGUAGCGGUGAAAUGCGCAGAUAUCGGGAGGAACACCAGUAGCGAAGGCGGCACUCUGGGCCGGUACUGACGCUGAGGAGCGAAAGCGUGGGGAGCGAACAGGAUUAGAUACCCUGGUAGUCCACGCCGUAAACGUUGGGCACUAGGUGUGGGACCCUAUCGACGGGUUCCGUGCCGUAGCUAACGCAUUAAGUGCCCCGCCUGGGGAGUACGGCCGCAGGGCUAAAACUCAAAG
rnacentral:rRNA from 1 species